AGUCCUGCAUGACAACAUGGAGAUGCUGUGGACCCUUCUGUGCCUGAUGACUGCUCCUCUGGGUGUCCUGUCUGAUCCGACACUGCAGGAGUCAGGACCUGGCCUGGUGAAGCCUGGACAGACCCUGUCCCUCACCUGCACUGUCACCGGGGGCUCUAUCACUAGUUACUACUGGAGUUGGAUACGCCAGCCUCCUGGGAAAGCUGUACAGUGGAUGGGGAACUUCGAGUUAGGAAGCACAGAGUACAACCCAGCCUUUAAAGACCGCAUCUCCAUCACUGCUGACACAGCCAAGAACCAGUUCUCCCUGCAGCUGAACUCCGUGACCCCGGAGGACACCGCCGUGUAUUACUGUGCGGGACACAGUGAGAGGACUUCAGUGUGA